rfam:Streptococcus equi subsp. zooepidemicus H70, complete genome
AUCAAGGGAGUAGCAGACGGUUAGCCGUGAUUGUGUCGUCAAUACGGAAUUUCGAUUUCCGGUACAAUCUGAAACAGCGAGACUUGUUUAAGAAAAAUAAACAGGUCUUUUUAG